AUUGAACGCUGGCGGCAGGCCUAACACAUGCAAGUCGAGCGGAAGAAGGGAGCUUGCUCCUGGAUUCAGCGGAGGACGGGAGAGUAAUGCCUAGGAAUCUGCCUGGUAGGGGGGGAUAACGUCCGGAAACGGGCGCUAAUACCGCAUACGUCCUGAGGGAGAAAGUGGGGGAUCUUCGGACCUCACGCUAUCAGAUGAGCCUAGGUCGGAUUAGCUAGUUGGUGGGGUAAAGGCCUACCAAGGCGACGAUCCGUAACUGGUCUGAGAGGAUGAUCAGCCACACUGGAACUGAGACACGGUCCAGACUCCUACGGGAGGCAGCAGUGGGGAAUAUUGGACAAUGGGCGAAAGCCUGAUCCAGCCAUGCCGCGUGUGUGAAGAAGGUCUUCGGAUUGUAAAGCACUUUUAGUUGGGAGGAAGGGCAGUAAGUUAAUACCUUGCUGUUUUGACGUUACCAACAGAAUAAGCACCGGCUAACUUCGUG
rnacentral:rRNA from 1 species